GCCCCGCAGGUAAGGCGUUAGCAGCGGAUUGAAAAUCCGCGUGUCACUGGUUCGAUUCCGGUCCUGGGCACCA
rnacentral:tRNA from 1 species